rnacentral:lncRNA from 10 species
CCUUGUUCUGUCUUCUCAGCGCUUCAUCACUUUCCAGUAUUACUCAUUUAAUCUGGAGCUGUGAGCCAGUUUAUCCUCUGCAUUUUUUACAACCACCAAAUACUUAUUUCAGAAUUGGUCAUGGUUACUUGCAUUUAGUGUCGUAACCAGACUGCAGCUGACCCAGUACGCUACCAUCCCUUGGAACUCCACGACUGCAGUGAGCUCCUGCCGACUUCCGGGUUUCUGACUGCUGGACGCUGCAUCUACCAAGCGAUGGGGGGAAACAGAUGAAGCACCCACUCCUGAAUCCCCAGCCAAUGCCUGUGCCACAGAACAGCCAAAUAUGUAGUCUAAUGACUAUCGCAGGAGA